UCUGUGUUAUUACUUACAAUUUCCAACAUAAACUAUGCUCUACUUAUAUUUAUGCAUCUUAUAUUCUCAGUUUCUUUUCCUUUUUAGCAUCUCCAUCUCCAUGUCCGUAAGUUCUAUUGCUAGAAAGGGAAUCUAAUUGUAUCUUGGGCAAGAGUUGGAAAAUAAAUUGUCCUUCAUGUAUUAAAUAUGUGUACGCGUACGAUAUUGACCUCUGACCUUUACAACACUCGCGACAUCUCCAUCUUAUCAUCAUUAUGAGUCAGGUGACACGGGAAAUUCAAUUUUAACCCUCCAAGCACGAUACGAAACUAUGAACCAGGUCAUGGCUGAUUUCAACAUGUGCUCCAUUACUUGAUGCAUCUAAAUAUGCCUCGGAGGAGUCAUUGUAAUAAUUGGAUGGUUGGAUUCUGAUGUAUUGGAUUCUUUGUUACACACUUGACAAAUAGGUUUUUGGCAAUAUUUUACUUAAUUCCAAUUGAAUUUUGUUAGGUGAGAUGGACAUGUCUAAAAUCCUCUUUAGUAAUGGUAGUUUGGUUACCACCGUGCUAGUGUGAAUCUCUUCCUUUUCAAUUGUGCUGCUGAUUUUGCUUGGAAAUGACCUUGAGGUGCCCCCUCUGUUUCAGUUUUACCAUUCAGGUGGUUGGUAUUAGUUUUGCCAUUUCGUCAAUGUAAAUAUUUGCAGGUAUCAGUUAACAUAUUUCUUUAGAUUGCAUGCAUGACAUAGGAAAUAACACAGGACAAUAUUCACAAUAUAAUUACCGUUUACAAAUCAACGGGCAUGACGGAUCAUGCCUAGCGCGUAGCAAUGACCCGAGUCCUUAUAAACAAGGACUACAAGAGUCGUCUGUGUUACCUGGAUAGUCUUUAACUAUGUGUGUCCUUUUUGCAAGAAUUUCAUUAUUUUCUGUUGCCCUUUACAGUCCUACCAGCAUUGGCGGUGCUGGAAUUGCUUGCCUGCCAUUGGGACCUUCUCUUUUCAUUCAUUCAACAUCCAAAAGCUGUUAUCACUCUUCAAAGGGAUAUUUGGGUAAAGUCAGUUGGAGGUGAUGUUGGCGCCUUGGCGGUGCAGUGGUUGCAGCUUUCGACAGGUGGUAUGAAUUACUCUCUCUUCACACCCAUGGCAUCUCUCUCUACCACAUGUAUCUAUCUUCAACCAGAGAGAGAGAGAGGAAUGAUUGUUGACUACCAGCAGCGCAGAUCAUGACUGCCACCUUCCGCUAGCACCAACCAGCACUUCCGGUGCUUCCUUUUGCCGGCCAAGUGCGCUCAGUGGAGAUAUACUGAAAAUGAGAGACAGAGCCCUGUUCCUCGGCGAUGAAAGGUUAAAUGCUACAUUAAACAGUUGUUAUCUGGACUUGAGCACUGCCACUUGCGAGGUGAAUGCAUCAAGACAUUAAAGAUGCAAAUUUUCUGGUAAAUAAUGAAGGAGUUUUGAAGAUAGCUGAUUUUGGACUAAAUUCCAGCCCGUCUGCGAAUAUGCAACCCCUAACCAGUAGAGUUGUCACUUUGUGGUACCGACCUCUUGAACUUUUGUGGGGGCUCCACGGUGUAAGCUGUGUAUUGCUGAACUUCUUGUUGAUAAACCCAUCCUUAAGGGGGAAGAACUGAGGCCGAACAUCCCCUGCAGUGCUUCAGUCGAUAAGAUCUCUCGCUACAGAUAGUCAGGGCUCCUUAUGGAGACGCUUGGGUUGAAGUCAACGGGCAACAAUAUUCUCCGAGCCAAAUUGGAGCAUUCAUUCUGACCAAGAUGAAAGAGAUUGCAGAAUCAUAUUUAGGAAAGAUAGUCACAAAAGCUGUUAUCACUGCAGCAGCUUAUUUCAAUGAUGCCCAGAGACGAGCAACAGAGGAUGUUGGGUGAAUUCCUGGCCUUGAUGUGCAGAGAAUCAUUAAUGAGCCUACUACUGCUGCACUUUCAUAUGGUUUGAACAAGGAGGGUCUUGUAGCGGUUUUUGAUCUCGGUGGUUGAACCUUUGAUGUUAAAUAUCUGAUAGUGUUUUUGAGGUUGUGUCUGGAGGAGGAAUUCUCAACCAUACUAGCUGUAAUUUGGAGGAUCUGAUUCUCGAAGGACUAGAGACGGUAAUCAAAAGUAAUCUUACCUUGCAUAUGAAGGGUCUCUAGCUGGCUAUCUAGAGCCACAUGCACAAUCCGUUCUUGUCUUCGUCUCCUUGUUUUUGCAUGUUAUGAUUCUCAUCAUCAUCAUUUGCAUUUUAUUUCAUGCAUGUGUAUUGGUGAGAUUGCUGUGGUGCCUGGUUCUCUUCAAGCAGGAUAAUUGGAACUAAUUAAGGUGCAUUGGUGCGGGUGGUAACUACAACUGCUGCUUGCGGCUUGGUUUUUGGAAUUGAUAAGGUCAAUUUUCGUCAAUUUAUCUCUUUGUUUUCUCAUCUAGUUAGUAAUAUCCUUGUCCUCCCAUGAAUGGAGAAGCUUGUGUGGUUAUAUCUUAGUUGCAGGAAUUGCCUACUUGGUAGGCUCUCCUGGGCGAGAAACGCGAUACCGUGUUUUUUAGUAAGAAACACGUUGGGAGCGCGUUCCCAUUGAGAUGGGAUUGCGCUCCUACGAGAGAGAGAGAGAGAGAGAGAGAGAGAGAGAGAGAGAGAUAUCUGAAUUGGUGGCUGCGUGAAAGAAGAAGAGAGAGAGAGAUAUCUGAAUUGGUGGCUGCGUGAAAGAAGAAGGGUUCUCGUUUUGGACUUAAUAGGUUUUUUUUUUUUUUUUUUUAUUCUUUUGGGCUGCCAAGUUGGGUUUGUAUUGUAUGAUGUAAUGAGCCAUUUUAUUCUUACAGUCCAAGUUGGGUUUCUAUGAUAUAAUGGGCAUGUUCAUUCUUUUUGGCUACUAAAUGGGCUUAUACAUUAGGGCUAUAAAGAUUGAAGUGGAUUUCACAAUUCUUUGCAGGCUUCAAAAAUAAUCCAUAUGGGCUUUUAUUAUCCAUAAAAUAACAAAACAAAAGAAUCAAUGUGCUUUUAAUACAUAAACUAUCUAAUCCUAACCUAUUAAAUUUUAAAAAGGUAUUAAAAAUAUUACAAAAAUUAUCAUUUUUUUAAUGUUAUAUAAAAAAUGACAUAAAAUAUAUAUUUUCUGUAUGAUAUAAAUGAAAAAUAUGGUAUUAUGUAAUAUUAUUAAAGCAUCCAACUUCAAACUAAUUGGCAUAGAGGGGAGAGGCGAUCCAGGCUUAUAUAUUAGUUUUGGAGGAGAUAAUUAACCGAUGUGGGAUAAAUCUCAACACUCUCCCGCAUGUGCGAUCCCGACUCGCACGUGGAGAGGUAAACAAAGAAUCCGAAACACAUGGAUUACAACGAAAGAAAGUGCAACUAUGGCAGAAAUAAAGGGGAAAAGUCUCUUGAAAU